ACUACCUGAGCAGACAAUUAUUUUCCUUAGAAAGCUAUCUGGGAGUUGGGCCUAUUGGAAGCUCCAGGCCUUUCACCAGGCACCAAAAGUUAAAGAAACAGAAAAAGGAGGCUGUAUCCACAUGGAGCUUACAAGGGCCUGUCACCUCACAUGAAGCCUGUCUUUCUAUGCCGGGCUCACCUGGGUGGUCACAUCCAAGCGCAGCUGCUCAGGAUUGAGAUGCGAGCCCUGCUGCUCUGUGCCAGGGCCCAGGGUCUGCCUCAGUGCCCAGUUCAGCAGGUAGCCACGGUCUGAAGCCUGGCCCCCCUGUUCUGCGUAGAAGUUGGUCCUGUCCAAGAGGAGGCCACAGCGCUGGCCUUUCCCCACGGAGGCCACUGCUGUCCCGUCCUCUGUAUACAGUUGCAACACCUGGGCCUCACAG